UGGGGAGAGGAACUUGUUCCUCGAGUCGUUGAUUUCACACUGCCGAGAAAAGCCUCUAGCUAGAAUAACGGUGCCCGUACCGCAAACCGACACAGGUAGUCAAGAUGAGAAUUCUAAGGUGAGCGAGCGAACUCUCGUUAAGGAACUCGGCAAAAUGACCCCGUAACUUCGGGAGAAGGGGUGCUCUUUGAGGUUCACGCUUCGAAGAGCCGCAGUGAAUAGGCCCAAGCGACUGUUUAUCAAAAACACAGGUCUCUGCUAAACCGUAAGGUGACGUAUAGGGGCUGACGCCUGCCCGGUGCUGGAAGGUUAAGAGGAGUGGUUAGCGCAAGCGAAGCUACGAAUCGAAGCCCCAGUAAACGGCGGCCGUAACUAUAACGGUCCUAAGGUAGCGAAAUUCCUUGUCGGGUAAGUUCCGACCCGCACGAAAGGCGUAACGAUUUGGGCACUGUCUCAACGAGAGACUCGGUGAAAUCAUAGUACCGGUGAAGAUGCCGGUUACCCGCGACAGGACGGAAAGACCCCGUGGAGCUUUACUGUAGCCUGAUAUUGAAAUUCGGUACAGUUUGUACAGGAUAGGUAGGAGCCUUAGAAGCGUGAGCGCUAGCUUACGUGGAGGCAUUGGUGGGAUACUACCCUAAUUGUAUUGGAUUUCUAACCCGCAGCACUUAUCGUGCUGGGAGACAGUGUCAGGCGGGCAGUUUGACUGGGGCGGUCGCCUCCUAAAGAGUAACGGAGGCGCUCAAAGGUUCCCUCAGAAUGGUUGGAAAUCAUUCAUAGAGUGUAAAGGCAUAAGGGAGCUUGACUGCGAGACCUACAAGUCGAGCAGGGUCGAAAGACGGACUUAGUGAUCCGGUGGUUCCGCAUGGAAGGGCCAUCGCUCAACGGAUAAAAGCUACCCCGGGGAUAACAGGCUUAUCUCCCCCAAGAGUUCACAUCGACGGGGAGGUUUGGCACCUCGAUGUCGGCUCAUCGCAUCCUGGGGCUGUAGUCGGUCCCAAGGGUUGGGCUGUUCGCCCAUUAAAGCGGUACGCGAGCUGGGUUCAGAACGUCGUGAGACAGUUCGGUCCCUAUCCGUCGUGGGCGUAGGAAAUUUGAGAGGAGCUGUCCUUAGUACGAGAGGACCGGGAUGGACAUACCUCUGGUGUACCAGUUGUCGUGCCAACGGCAUAGCUGGGUAGCUAUGUAUGGACGGGAUAAGUGCUGAAAGCAUCUAAGCAUGAAGCCCCCCUCGAGAUGAGAUUUCCCAACUUCGGUUAUAAGAUCCCUCAAAGAUGAUGAGGUGAAU
rnacentral:rRNA from 1 species